UCAAGCUGAAAAGAGCGCAAGGGGAAUGCCUUGGCAUCAGGAGCCGACGAAGGACGUGACAAGCUGCGAUAAGCCACGGGGAGGAGCAAAUAUCCGUUAUAUCCGUGGAUUUCCGAAUGGGGGAACCCGCUCAAGCAAUACUUGAGCAUCGUGCGUUGAAUCAAAUAGGCGUACGAAGGGAACGGCCUGAACUGAAACAUCUAAGUAGGGCCAGGAAAAGACAUCAACCGAGAUUCCGCUAGUAGUGGCGAGCGAACGCGGAGGAGGCCAAACCGGAGGAUUUUAUUCUCCGGGGUUGCGGACAGACAUCAAGACCAGAGGAAAUUAAGAGAACGGCGUGGGAAAGCCGGCCACAGAAGGUGAGAGCCCUGUAUCUGAAAAUGAAGACUGGCAGUCUGGAUCCAGAGUACCGCGGGACACGUGAAACCCCGUGGGAAACCGGGUGGACCACCAUCCAAGCCUAAAUACUACCUGAUGACCGAUAGAGGAGCAGUACCGUGAGGGAAAGGUGAAAAGGACCCCGGGAGGGGAGUGAAAGAGAACCUGAAACCUUGUGCUUACAAGCAGUCAAAGCACGUUAAAGUGUGAUGACGUACUUUUUGUAGAACGGUCCGGCGAGUUAUAGUAACGAGCAAGCUUAAGGUAUUGAGUACCGGAGGCGAAGCGAGAGCGAGUCUGAAUAGGGCGUAAAGUUCGUUGCCAUAGACCCGAAACCGGGUGACCUAUCCAUGAGCAGGCUGAAGUGAGAGUAAAAUCUCAUGGAGGGCCGAACCGACCCCCGUUGCAAUGGUGGCGGAUGACUUGUGGAUAGCGGAGAAAUUCCAAUCGAACUCGGAGAUAGCUGGUUCUCCCCGAAAUAGCUUUAGGGCUAGCCUCAUAUUAGAUACCCGGAGGUAAAGCACUGAAUGGCCUAGCGCCCGAGAGGGUAGCGAAGCCUAUCAAACUAAGAAUGCCGGAGUAUUGAUGUAUGGGAGUCAGACAGUGUGAGAUAAAUCUCAUUGUCAAAAGGGAAACAGCCCAGAUCUACAGCUAAGGUCCCAAAUUGUAUCUAAGUGGAAAACGAUGUGGAAAUACGCAGACAACCAGGAUGUUGGCUCAGAAGCAGCCACUCAUUUAAAGAGUGCGUAAUAGCUCACUGGUCGAGCGUCUCUGCGCGGAAAAUUUAACGGGGCUAAGAUACAAACCGAAGCUUAGGCUGCACUUUUAGUGCGGGGUAGGGGAGCGUUGUGUAAGCGGAGAAACAGUAGCGGAAGCGGCUGUGGAGUUUACAGAAGUGAGAAUGCCGGAAUGAGUAGCGCGAAUGAUGUGAGAAUCAUCAUGGCCGGAAACCUCAGGUUUUUGGAGGAAGGUUCGUCCGCUCCAAGUUAGGCGGGAGCUAAGGUCAGGCCGAAAGGCGUAGCCGAUGCACAGACGGUAGAGAUUCCGUCCCCACCGAAAGAUUUAAGCACAGGGACACUUUUAGAAGGUCGGAGCCAGGUGUUGGUUCUGGUAGAGAUCGAGGGAAGAAUAGUACCGAAGUCCGGCUGGAUAAGAGGCGAGAAAAGCUGCGUGUAUAUCUAAGGUGCCCGUACCGCAAACCGACACAGGUAGGUAGGAAGAAGAUUCUAAGGCCAACGGGAGAAGGGUUGUUAAGGAACUCGGCAAAUUGACCCCGUAACUUCGGGAGAAGGGGUGCUCCAGAGAUGGAGCCGCAGAGAAUCGGCCCAAGCAACUGUUUACCAAAAACACAGGUUUGUGCUAAAUCGAAAGAUGACGUAUACGAGCUGACGCCUGCCCGGUGCUGGAAGGUUAAGAGGAGAUGUGCAAGCAUUGAAUCGAAGCCCCAGUGAACGGCGGCCGUAACUAUAACGGUCCUAAGGUAGCGAAAUUCCUUGUCAGGU
rnacentral:rRNA from 1 species